GGGCCCAUGGCUUAGGCUGGUUAUAGCGUCCGGCUGAUAACCGGGAGGUCGGGAGUUCAAAUCUCUCUGGGCCCA
rnacentral:tRNA from 1 species